rnacentral:rRNA from 1 species
AUUGAACGCCGGCGGCAGGCUUAACACAUGCAAGUCGAGCGGAUGACGGGAGCUUGCUCCUUGAUUCAGCGGCGGACGGGUGAGUAAUGCCUAGGAAUCUGCCUGGUAGUGGGGGACAACGUUUCGAAAGGAACGCUAAUACCGCAUACGUCCUACGAGAGAAAGCAGGGGACCUUCGGGCCUUGCGCUAUCAGAUGAGCCUAGGUCGGAUUAGCUAGUAGGUGAGGUAAUGGCUCACCUAGGCGACGAUCCGUAACUGGUCUGAGAGGAUGAUCAGUCACACUGGAACUGAGACACGGUCCAGACUCCUACGGGAGGCAGCAGUGGGGAACAUUGGACAAUGGGCGAAAGCCUGAUCCAGCCAUGCCGCGUGUGUGAAGAAGGUCUUCGGAUUGUAAAGCACUUUAAGUUGGGAGGAAGGGCAGUAAGUUAAUACCUUGCUGUUUUGACGUUACCGACAGAAUAAGCACCGGCUGACUCUGUGCCAGCCGCCGCAGUAA